CAGCUGGCUCUAUAAAGGCUGUGAGCCAGAAGCAGAGAGAGACCACUCUCUAGGUUCCUCUAGCUCUGAGAUGGAGGGACCUGGCUGCAAAGACCUGAAUAGAGGACCUAGUCUGGAGCAGGAUUGGGGAAAGGCCAAGGGAGCUGGGGAGCUCCAGCCGAGGAAAGCCCCAGGCAGCAGGCCUGGUGCUGUAUUGAGAAUUGACAAUGAAAAUAUGUCUGUCACUACUGUGAAUGGAAAACUGUCUCUUCUGAAAAGUAAAUACAUUCAAAAUUUCUAUCACACCCUUUCAAUGAGUAAAAGAUGGAGUGGGUGUAUGCAUGUCUGUGCACAGACAGUUUCAGAAUUACCACUGCAAGAAAUAUGGGUCUCUUCUGCUCGGUUAUCACAGGACUGCUGUUUCCAUAUGCCUGAUGGGCACUGCCAAAGGGACCUGUGCUGUUCACUGCAUACAACGUGGUCCAGCCAUGUGGGACCAGAACCUGCUCCAUAUGCCAAGUCUCUUGCAACCUGCCCUCUAUCCCCACAGUUCAGUUGUUUGCAGACAAUUGCUGGGGUGACUCCAGACAUCUGAUUGGAGCAAACACUGCCCCACGUCCCAUUGUAGAAAACCUCCAGCCGCCCAGCACAAUCACGGUCGCUCACCAGCCUCAAAUCCGUGAAUUCUAGAAGGAAGUGCACAAAAAGGGAAUUUAAAUCGUCUGAUUCUGAAAUGAACUGGUGUGAAGAGUGAAAUCCCAGCGAUUGCUCAUCCCAAAAGUAUAGCCACAUCAUUCUGCAGGAGCAAGUGUCAGAGAGAAUCACUCUAAGAAUGAGAUACUCUCCUGGACACCAUGAGACUAUUAGAAAUAUAAUGAUCACCGCUGAAAAGUCACCAGUUCCCAGCAGUUACACACACAGACACCUGCAAUACAGCAGUGACUACCCUGCCAACACUAGAGAAAUGCUGCGAUAUCUUCAAUACUCCUGGGUGGGAACCGAUGGGAAAUGGUGACUUUCUAAUCAUGACCCCAGUAGGUAGGUAGAGGAGUAGAGUGACCAUAUUUUCUCAAAGGGAAAACG